rnacentral:rRNA from 1 species
GAANGGACAAGAGAGACAGGGCCUCCUUAACCUAAGCGCCCUCCAGCCGAACAGAUGAUAUAAUCUUAAUCUGACGUGCAGUAAACAUACAGCCCAAGAUCAGGGCUC